UACGUAGGGUGCGAGCGUUAAUCGGAAUUACUGGGCGUAAAGCGUGCGUAGGCGGUCCGCGAAGUCUGAUGUGAAAGCCCCGGGCUCAACCUGGGAACUGCAUUGGAAACUAACGGGCUCGAGUGUGGCAGAGGGGGGGUGGGAAUUCCACGUGUAGCAGUGAAAUGCGUAGAGAUGUGGAGGAACACCGAUGGCGAAGGCAGCCCCCCUGGGCUAACACUGACGCUCAGGCACGAAAGCGUGGGGAGCAAA
rnacentral:rRNA from 1 species